UGUCCGCGGACCAGUCUGUCUUCCAGGAAAAGCCUGAUGCCAAGAAGGAGAGUAGCACCAACGCCCCAUCCCGUGGGUGCGUCAUUUGAGCGAGGAGCUGCUCUGUGACUCGGAAUAACUGGCCGGACCGUGCAGCCCUUACUCUGGCUCAGCCACCGACGUCACUGCUCCCGGGAGAGCCCCAGAUGCCCACCCCAGCCUUGCAAGCGGAGUCCCGAGCAGACCUGACCAAACGAGGUGCCCAGGCGGAUGGGAACGGCACUGGCGAGCCAAGAUGUUACGAUUGAAAAUUGAAAAGUCCAAGGCUACUCUAGGCUGAAAGAAAGAGGGCAGCCUCAAACAACGAGCUAACAAUGAGAUUCAGAAGAUCUUCAGAAAAACAUUUACGACCAAUAAACAGACUCCAACCUG